rnacentral:rRNA from 1 species
UGAGGAAUAUUGCGCAAUGGGGGAAACCCUGACGCAGCAACGCCGCGUGAGUGAGGAAGGUUUUCGGACCGUAAAGCUCUGUCGAGCGGGAAGAAGUGCAUGGUGGCUAAUAUCCAUUAUGCUUGACGGUACCGCUAAAGGAAGCACCGGCUAACUCCGUGCCAGCAGCCGCGGUAAUACGGGGGGUGCUAGCGUUGUUCGGAAUCAUUGGGCGUAAAGAGCGUGUAGGCGGCUGGAUAAGUCAGAUGUGAAAGCCCUGGGCUUAACCUAGGAAGUGCAUUUGAAACUGUUCAGCUUGAGUAAGGGAGAGGAGAGUGGAAUUCCUGGUGUAGAGGUGAAAUUCGUAGAUAUCAGGAGGAACACCGGUGCGAAGCGACUUUCUGGCCCUAUACUGACGCU